rnacentral:rRNA from 1 species
GACGAACCGUCCAAACGUUAUUCGGAAUCACUGGGCUUACAGAGUUCGUAGGCGGUCCGGUAAGUCAGACGUGAAAUCCCCAGGCUCAACCUGGGAACUGCGUCUGAUACUGGAUGGCUUGAAUCCGGGAGAGGGAUGCAGAAUUCCAGGUGUAGCGGUGAAAUGCGUAGAUAUCUGGAGGAAUACCGGUGGCGAAGGCGACAUCCUGGACCGGCAUUGACGCUGAGGAGCGAAAGCUAGGGGAGCAAACGGG